GAAUUGUACACUCAAAAGUGGUUAAAGUGGUAAAUUUUAUGCCAUGUAUAAUAUUCUUUGCCACAAUAAAAAGCAUGUAUGUUGACAGAAAAAAAAAUGUACACUUUGACCCAGCUUUUCAUUUUCUCCAUCUACCAAAUGCCUAAGCAAGAGGAAAACUGCCACCAUUGUGCUGUGUUUAGGGUAAUGGUGGCUUUCUACUCACAUUCAUCAUUUUAAUAACCGUGUGGUGCUGUAGAUCUCUCAUCUGUCAGUCCUAACGUGUGAUAGAAUCUAGAUCAAUUUGAUUUCCAAGCUGAAUCAAGUGAAGAUAUAUUAUAGAGUCAGCUGACCUAGGGACCAAGGAACAAGCCAGAAAAUAUCAAAAUCAGAGUACCCAGGAAGACGAGGCCUCCAAAGAGCUCCAAAUGCCGAGGUCGGCCUCAUAUCGCACAGUUCAGACUCUAUGGAAAAUAACAUCGAGAAUGAAAUGUUGUGAUACCUCGGUGCAUGGACUUUUAUUAUUGUGGGGUUUGAAAGUAAAGGGGAGAUAAAUAUGGGUCAUAAAGACCUGUUUUUCAAUUCCAUUUGUACCCUGCAUAUUUAUAUUGAUAACACUUCCCCAUGAGUCUUUCUAAACAAGAAGCCAUCAAGGCAGUGCUUAAGAAGUAUAAUAAUAAAACAAUAAAUAAAUAAAUAAAACAGUGUGGGGGGGAAUUGCCAUAGGAAUUAAAUAAAGAGACAAAGAUUAAAUAUAUUGUAGUACACUGCAUUUGAUGAUAAGAUGGGAAAAGGACAUGCUGAAUUCUGAAUAAAGUCUAUUAAUUAUUAAAAAAAGAAGUCUAUUUUUCUAGAUUACGGGAGUUUAAUAAAAGAUUUUUCUAAAAAAAUUUAAAAAAAGAAUCUGUUCUCAGACCAUGGCUCUGCCUCUUAACAGCUAUUUCACUCUGAAAGAGUUGUUUUACCUCUGAGUCUGUUCCUCCGCUUUCAGAAGGUCAUUAUGGGGAUUAAAUAAGGUAAAUCAAGGAAAGUGCUCAGCAUGAUGCCUGGCACACCAUAAACACCCAAUAAAUUUUAGUCACCAUUAGCUAUUGUUUUUGUUUAUUAUUCUCAUCAUUAUUUGGUCAGGGUCACUUUGAUCAAAGCCAGGGUACAAUCUGUUGCUUCUCCAUGAGUGCCUUAUUCUUUGGGUCUCUCCAAAGCCCAGGAUACAUUCUUCUGUGACUUUUCACUGUCCAUUGCUCAUGCUCCUUUACGAGGUUUGAGAGAUGAGUGCCAGCACUGUAUUUGGGAGCCGCUGCAGCUCUGCACAGACCCAGAACGUCAUGUGCUUUCCCCUCGGCGUGGCCAGGGAGAGCUCGUCUACCCCCGCGUGCUACUCGCCAGCUUUCCCCACUUCGAGGGCGGAGCUCAGUGGCUUAGCGUGAAGUGAUCAAAUGAGUGUUUACACCAAAGCACUCUAUGGGUCUAUAUCAAUAUUUCUAAGAAUCGUUUCAUUUAUAGAAAUUAUUACCCAGCUGACCUGUUAUCAUGUACAACAGCUUCACUGGCAAAAGCAUCAUAUUCUAGAUCGGGGCUUAGCAAACUUUUCUGUAAAGGACCAGAGAGUGAAUAUUUUCAGCUUUGUGGGCCACACACAAUCCUGUUUUAUAAUCUUCUCGUUUUUUGUUACAACUUUUAAAAAAUGCAAAGCAACAACAACCAAAAAUAAAUAAAUAAAUAACCCACUCUUAACCUGUGGACUAUACAGAAAGAGUUUGUGGGCCAAAAUUUGCCCACUGGCCAUAGUUUGCUGAUCCCUGUUCUAGAUGUCUGAUUUGCUUUGUAUUGGACAGUUUGGCAAUAGGAAGAAUACACACUUAAAUUUUCUUCUCUUUGGCAGAAUUGCAUUAAAAAUCAAUUCUUUUUAGCUUUUAGGAAACUGAACUCUCGCAGAGAUUUAAUUGGAAGAGAACCAGCAUUUCAUUGAAACAUAUUUGGAAACACGUUGUGUAUAUUGAGACACACACACAGACACGGUCUCUGUACUCCAAGUAGUUGAAGUCAACAAAUGUGUCUGAACUUUUUUAGCUGGUUUC
rnacentral:lncRNA from 1 species